GAUGAACGCUGGCGGCGUGCCUAAUACAUGCAAGUCGAACGCAUAGCGAAAGGUGCUUGCACCUUUCAAGUGAGUGGCGAACGGGUGAGUAACACGUGGACAACCUGCCUCAAGGCGGGGGAUAACAUGUGGAAACAGAUGCUAAUACCGAAUAAAACUUAGUGUCGCAUGACACAAAGUUAAAAGGCGCUUCUGCGUCACCUAGCGAUGGAUCCGCGCUGCAUUAGUUAGUUGGUGGGGUAAAGGCCUACCAAGACAAUGAUGCAUAGCCGAGUUGAGAGACUGAUCGGCCACAUUGGAACGGAGACACGGCCCUAACUCCUACGGGAGGCUGCAGUAGGGAAUCUUCCACAAUGGGCGAAAGCCUGAUGGAGCAACGCCGCGUGUGAGAUGAAGGCUUUCGGGUCGUAAAGCAGUGUUGUAUGGGAAGAACAGCUAGAAUAGGAAAUGAUGUUAGUUUGACGGUACCAUACCAGAAAGCGACGGCUAAAUACGUG
rnacentral:rRNA from 1 species